ACCACCAUUCUUCCUGUUUCUCCGCCAGUGUCAGAAGAUCCAUGCUCUUGGGUGGGAGAGUGUGAAACCACCUCCUAGCAUUUGACUGUGGGAGGGAAGUGACCACAGGAUGUCACCAUCUGGGUCAGAAGUGUGCAAGUAUUUGACAGGAAGCACCCAGUGCUUCCAGUAAAGCAGAAUUGCACAUUUGGAAAGUUGUUCCCUACCCACCACCCUGUGACGACAGCUGAGAUAACUUUGAGGUCUCUCACUGGAUCUAGAACCCACUGAUUAGGCUACAUUGGCCGGCCAGCGAGCACCGAGGAGCUUCCUUUCUCUGCUCUCUCUGUGCUGAGCUUACAGAAACAACAGAGUGAAGCUUUAUACAUGUGAAUGGGAGGCACACAAAAGAGCACACUGUCCUGAGUUUGCAUGAGUAAUUGUGCAUGACUUCAGUCUUCCCCCGGUGAAACUUUGGGCUGUCUUCCCGGAGCCUGAAGAGUGAACCAGAAGCUAACAUGAGAGAUUGAGAGAUCAGAGAGUGUGUCAUCGUCUCCUGUCUGUCUACGCAGACUUAUUGCCUGGGGUUUGGAAGAACUCCAGCCAGAAGCUGAAGUUUGAACUUUCCUCCAGUUUUCAUUUUGAAUUGCAACCUGACUUUAUUCCUCCCCCCCGCCAGAUCUUUAAUUUAGUGAACACAAUAAAGAAUUUAAAGACCUCAAAUAAAAUAGUUCCAGCACCCGAAUAUGUAAUUAUGUACAGAUAAUAGCAUAAUUGUAAUUAACUGCUCUACCUAGCUG